UGGGGAAUAUUGCACAAUGGGCGCAAGCCUGAUGCAGCGACGCCGAGUGGGGGAUGACGGCCUUCGGGUUGUAAACUCCUUUCGCUAGGGACGAAGCUUUUUGUGACGGUACCUAGAUAAGAAGCACCGGCUAACUACGUGCCAGCAGCCGCGGUAAUACGUAGGGUGCGAGCGUUGUCCGGAAUUACUGGGCGUAAAGGGCUCGUAGGUGGUUUGUCGCGUCGUCUGUGAAAUUCCGGGGCUUAACUCCGGGCGUGCAGGCGAUACGGGCAUAACUUGAGUACUGUAGGGGUAACUGGAAUUCCUGGUGUAGCGGUGAAAUGCGCAGAUAUCAGGAGGAACACCGAUGGCGAAGGCAGGUUACUGGGCAGUUACUGACGCUGAGGAGCGAAAGCAUGGGUAGCGAACAGG
rnacentral:rRNA from 1 species